AUUGAACGCUGGCGGCAUGCCUUACACAUGCAAGUCGAACGGUAACGCGGGGCAACCUGGCGACGAGUGGCGAACGGGUGAGUAAUGUAUCGGAACGUGCCCAGUUGUGGGGGAUAACUGCUCGAAAGAGCAGCUAAUACCGCAUACGACCUGAGGGUGAAAGCGGGGGAUCGCAAGACCUCGCGCAAUUGGAGCGGCCGAUAUCAGAUUAGGUAGUUGGUGGGGUAAAGGCCCACCAAGCCAACGAUCUGUAGCUGGUCUGAGAGGACGACCAGCCACACUGGGACUGAGACACGGCCCAGACUCCUACGGGAGGCAGCAGUGGGGAAUUUUGGACAAUGGGCGCAAGCCUGAUCCAGCCAUGCCGCGUGCGGGAAGAAGGCCUUCGGGUUGUAAACCGCUUUUGUCAGGGAAGAAACGCUCUGGGUUAAUACCUCGGGGUAAUGACGGUACCUGAAGAAUAAGCACCGGCUAACUACGUGCCAGCCGCCGCUGUAA
rnacentral:rRNA from 1 species